rnacentral:siRNA from 1 species
UUAACAAAAUGAGUUGGGUCAA